CAGUAGCCGCGGUAAUACGUAGGUGGCAAGCGUUGUCCGGAAUUAUUGGGCGUAAAGGGCUCGCAGGCGGUUUCUUAAGUCUGAUGUGAAAGCCCCCGGCUCAACCGGGGAGGGUCAUUGGAAACUGGGAAACUUGAGUGCAGAAGAGGAGAGUGGAAUUCCACGUGUAGCGGUGAAAUGCGUAGAGAUGUGGAGGAACGCCAGCGGCGAAGGCGACUCUCUGGUCUGUAACUGACGCUGAGGAGCGAAAGCGUGGGGAGCGAACAGGAUUAGAGACCCCCGUAGUCCCUGUCUCUUAUAA
rnacentral:rRNA from 1 species